UCCGUAGGUGACCCUGCGGAGGGAUCAUU
rnacentral:rRNA from 1 species